GAUGAAGAACGUAGCGAAAUGCGAUAAGUAGUGUGAAUUGCAGAAUUCAGUGAAUCAUCGAAUCUUUGAACGCACAUUGCGCCCCUUGGUAUUCCAUGGGGCAUGCCUGUUCGAGCGUCAUUUGUACCUUCAAGCUUUGCUUGGUGUUGGGUGUUUGUCCUGAGGGACUCGCCUUAAAGUAAUUGGCAGGCAGUGUUUGGUUUUGAAGCGCAGCACAAGUCGCGAUUCAAAGCUAUACGCCCGCUUCCACAAGCCUUUUUCACUUUUGACCUCGGAUCAGGUAGGGAUACCCGCUGAACUUAAGCAUAUCAAUAAGCGGAGGA
rnacentral:misc_RNA from 1 species